UUUCCGUAGGUGAACCUGCGGAAGGAUCAUUAAAAAAUAUCACAGUUUAUGUGUGAUUUAAUAAUCAUCCUACCCUUUGUGAAUUUGUUUUGUAUGAAAAUUUAUGUGUCUAUCCCUGAUGGUUUUUGGAAAAGUUGAAAAACUUUUUCGAAUCCUCAGGGACUAGGCUUUCAUAGACCUUUUUUAAAUUAAACUUUUUGUAUUCAUUUGUCUAAAAUUUAUUUUUAAUAAUUUAAAAACAACUUUUGACAAUGGAUCUCUUGGUUCUCGCAACGAUGAAGAACGCAGCAAAAUGCGAUAAGUAAUGUGAAUUGCAGAAUACGUGAAUCAUCAAAUCUUCGAACGCAUAUUGCACUUUUCUAGUUUACUAGAAAAGUAUGUCUGUUUGAGUAUCAGUAAAAUAUUCUCAUAAAAAACAUUGUUUUUUAUGGUUAUGAGUGUUUUACAACGAUAAACAAGUUGUUUCACUUUAAAUUGAUUUUUAAAAGCCAAUUUGGUUUUAUCUAAUAAAAUUGGAUAAAAUUUUCCCGUAAAAGGAAUAAACUUUUCAGUUUUAAAAGAUAAAACUUUUAAUUGAGCCUAAUUAAAAGGAAAUUUAACUAAAUAACUUGAUCUCAAAUCAGAUAAGAGUACCCGCUGAACUUAAGCAUAUCAAUAAGCGGAGGAAAAGAAACUAACAAGGAUUCCCUUAGUAACGGCGAGUGAAGCGGGAAGAGCUCAAAUUUGAAAUCUUCAAGGUUCUACCUUGACGAAUUGUAGUUUAUAGAAGUGUUUUCUGUUAGUGGAGUGGCAAAAGUUCUUUGGAAUAGGACAUCAUAGAGGGUGAGAAUCCCGUAUUUGGUCAUUCCUCCUAGCGUUGUGAUACACUUUCGACGAGUCGGAUUGUUUGGGAAUGCAGUCCAAAAUGGGUGGUAAAUUUCAUCUAAAGCUAAAUAUUGGCGAGAGACCGAUAGCGAACAAGUACCGUGAGGGAGAGAUGAAAAGAACUUUGAAAAGAGAGUUAAACAGUACGUGAAAUUGUCAAAAGGGAAGCGUUUGACACCAGUGUUGUUUUUCCGAAAAUCAAUUACGAAUGUUUUAUUUUGAGGAGUUAUGACUUCAUCGGCUUGCUCCUUUCUUUACGAAACUUUCUUAAUGCACUUUUCGGUUAACAAGUCAACAUCAAUUUCUUUUGUUGUAAAAGGGUAUGAGGAAGGUGGCUUUCUUUUCGGAGAAAGUGUUUAUAGCCUUGUGCCUCUGCAAUCGGAGAGAUUGAGGUCUGCAGCGUAGAUCCUUCGGGGUUAGAUACGUUUGCGCUAAGUUAUAGCUUUUCAUAGACAACUUGUUGACUAUGUUUAGUCUUGUAGCUUACUCGCUGACGCUAUUUUACCUACGCUUAGGAUGUUG
rnacentral:misc_RNA from 1 species